AGGUUCAAUCCUCUAAAUCCCGGAAGAGGGAGUGCCCGGAUCCUGUGUUACCUUGCGGCUCGUUUCCAGGCACGCAGCUGGUAGAGGGAAAGGCCUGCUCCAGACCAGCCACGUUGCCCCAGGAUUCAAUCCAGAUCCUCGGAGAGGAGGAGAUGCUCUGGGGGAAUCCUUCACACUUCAUAUCCUCGAUACUCAAAUUGGAUGCCAUUUGUACAUUCUCUUGUUGAGGCAAAAAUGUCCCUUGGACAAA